AUUGAACGCUGGCGGCAGGCCUAACACAUGCAAGUCGAGCGAGCGGCGGAGGGGGGAGUAAGGGAGGGGGACUGCCCGAUAGAGGGGGAUAACUACUGGAAACGGUGGCGAAGACCGCAUACUAUCGGAUACCAACGAUGGGAUUAGCUAGUAGGUGGGGUAAAUGCUCACCUAGGCGACGAUCUCUAGCUGGUCUGAGCGGAUGAUCAGCCACACUGUGACGUCUACACGGCCCAUACUCCUACGGAGGCAGCAGUGGUGAAUAUUGCACAAUGGGCGCAAGCCUGAUGCAGCCCUUCCGCGUGUAUGAAGAAGGCCUUAGUGUUGUAAAGUACUUUCAGCGGGGAGGCGUUACCCGCAGAAGCCUCUCCUGCUAACUCCGUGCCAGCAGCCGCGGUAAUUC
rnacentral:rRNA from 1 species